rnacentral:rRNA from 1 species
UGGAUCCAGACUUUGAUCCUGGCUCAGGACGAACGCUGGCGGCGUGCCUAACACAUGCAAGUCGAGCGGAGACAGUGAGUAGCUUGCUACGAGCUGUUUUAGCGGCGGACGGGUGAGUAACGCGUGAGCAACCUUUCCCAGACAGGGGAAUAACACACCGAAAGGUGUACUAAUACCGCAUAAGACCACGGGAUCACAUGGUUCUGAGGUAAAAGAUUUAUCGGUUUGGGGUGGGCUCGCGUCCGAUUAGGUAGUUGGUGAGGUAACGGCCCACCAAGCCGACGAUCGGUAGCCGACCUGAGAGGGUGAUCGGCCACAUUGGGACUGAGACACGGCCCAAACUCCUACGGGAGGCAGCAGUGGGGAAUAUUGGGCAAUGGGGGGAACCCUGACCCAGCAACGCCGCGUGGAGGAAGAAGGUUUUCGGAUCGUAAACUCCUGUCCUUGGAGACGAGUAGAAGACGGUAUCCAAGGAGGAAGCCCCGGCUAACUACGUGCCAGCAGCCGCGGUAAUACGUAGGGGGCAAGCGUUGUCCGGAAUAAUUGGGCGUAAAGGGCGCGUAGGCGGCUCGGUAAGUCUGGAGUGAAAGUCCUGCUUUUAAGGUGGGAAUUGCUUUGGAUACUGUCGGGCUUGAGUGCAGGAGAGGUUAGUGGAAUUCCCAGUGUAGCGGUGAAAUGCGUAGAGAUUGGGAGGAACACCAGUGGCGAAGGCGGCUUACUGGACUGUAACUGACGUUGAGGCUCGAAAGCGUGGGGAGCAAACAGGAUUAGAUACCCUGGUAGUCCACGCCGUAAACGAUGAUUACUAGGUGUCGGGGGACCAAGGUCCUUCGGUGCCGCCGCAAACGCAAUAAGUAAUCCACCUGGGGAGUACGUUCGCAAGAAUGCAACUCAAAUGAAUUGACGGA